rnacentral:rRNA from 1 species
UACGGGGGGGGCAAGCGUUGUUCGGAAUUACUGGGCGUAAAGGGCUCGUAGGUGGCCAACUAAGUCAGACGUGAAAUCCCUCAGCUUAACUGGGGAACUGCGUCUGAUACUGGAUGGCUUGAGUUUGGGAGAGGGAUGCGGAAUUCCAGGUGUAGCGGUGAAAUGCGUAGAUAUCUGGAGGAAUACCGGUGGCGAAGGCGGCAUCCUGGACCGGCAUUGACGCUGAGUGAGCGAAAGCCAGGGGAGCAAACGGG